rfam:Ardenticatena maritima DNA, contig: NODE_34, strain: 110S.
GGGUCGCUAACUCAAUCGGCAGAGUACCUGCCUUUUAAGCAGGGAGUUCAGGGUUCGAGUCCCUGGCGACCCA